GAUGAACGCUGGCGGCGUGCUUAACACAUGCAAGUCGAACGAACCUUCGGGUUAGUGGCGGACGGGUGAGUAACGCGUGAGAAUCUGCCCUCAGGAGGGGGAUAACGGUUGGAAACGACCGCUAAUACCCCACAUGCCGAUAGGUGAAAUGAAUUUCGCCUGAGGAUGAGCUCGCGUCUGAUUAGCUUGUUGGUGAGGUAAUGGCUCACCAAGGCUUCGAUCAGUAGCUGGUCUGAGAGGAUGAUCAGCCACACUGGGACUGAGACACGGCCCAGACUCCUACGGGAGGCAGCAGUGGGGAAUUUUCCGCAAUGGGCGAAAGCCUGACGGAGCAACGCCGCGUGAGGGACGAAGGGCUCUGGGCUGUAAACCUCUUUUCUCAAGGAAGAAGAUAUGACGGUACUUGAGGAAUAAGCCACGGCUAAUUCCGUGCCACAGCCGCGGUAAUACGGGAGUGGCAAGCGUUAUCCGGAAUUAUUGGGGGUUAAGCGUCCGCAGGCGGCCUUUCAAGAAGUCGUUACUCCAACCCUUGUGGAGGAGGACGCCGAAGGUGGGGCUAAUGACUGGGGUGAAGUCGUAACAAGGUAGCCGUACCGGAAGGUGCGGCUGGAUCACCUCCUAACAGGGAGACAACAAAAUGUAAAUAUUAAUUUUGUCACCUUAGGUCGAUCGGUAUCUCAGAUUCUUAUUUUUUAAGAAUUUCAGUUUCUAAGUUUUUUCUAGGUCACACCCAUUACUUUUUCCUGGGCCAUUAGCUCAGGUGGUUAGAGCGCACCCCUGAUAAGGGUGAGGUCCCUGGUUCAAGUCCAGGAUGGCCCAUAUCUCUAUGUUGGGGGUAUAGCUCAGUUGGUAGAGCGCCUGCUUUGCAAGCAGGAUGUCAGCGGUUCGAGUCCGCUUACCUCCACUGAAUACCACCUCUUACAUAUAUUUAAAGAGGGAAAUUGUUUUGAGUUGUGUCCUAAUUUGCUCUGAGCGAAUCUAGCUUCCUAUUUUUUCUAUAAAUAAGAUGCUGGACUCAUUGAAUUUUUUCAUUGAUUUCAGAGAACCUUGACAACUGCAUAGAUUAUUUUUGAAGACAAUAAGCAUCUUUAAUGAUGCAGAUUUAUUAUUUGUGCGAAUGCAUUAAAUAACAAUUCUAUUAAGCUGAUGCUUCAAUUAUUGAAGUUAUUGGUCAAGCUACAAAGGGCUCACGGAGGAUACCUAGGCACACAGAGGCGAUGAAGGACGUGGUUACCUGCGAUAAGUCUCGGGGAGUUGGAAGCACACUUUGAUCCGGGAAUUU
rnacentral:misc_RNA from 1 species